rnacentral:rRNA from 1 species
ACGUAGGAGGCAAGCGUUGUCCGGAUUUAUUGGGCGUAAAGCGAGCGCAGGCGGACUAAUAAGUCUGAUGUGAAAGCCUUCGGCUUAACCGGAGAAUUGCAUCAGAAACUGUUGAACUUGAGUGCAGAAGAGGAAAGUGGAACUCCAUGUGUAGCGGUGGAAUGCGUAGAUAUAUGGAAGAACACCAAUGGCGAAGGCAGCUCUCUGGUCUGCAACUGACGCUGAGGCUCGAAAGCGUGGGUAGCGAACAG